GCCUGUCCUAUAAUCGAUAAUCCACGAUCAACCUCACCCGCCUUUGCAACAACAGCCUAUAUACCUCCGUCGCCAGCCCGCCUGAAAACAGAAAAAUAGCGGGUGCAACAACUAAUCGUUAAUACGACAGGUCACGGUGUAGCUUAUACGCGGGGCAGAGAUGGGCUACAUUUCUUAAUAUAAUAAAUACCUACCCCGCCAUGAAAUCUGCGGAAAAAGGUGGAUUUAGCAGUAAGUCAGGCAAGAAAGCCUGUCUGAAGCGCGCUCUGAAAUG
rnacentral:rRNA from 1 species